GUGGACGCCGGGGGAGCUGGGCCAGCCUGGCUGAUGUGGAGCGGACACGGAUAGAGGGCAGUUGUAUGUGCGCGGGAUCGGAGACCUGUGUACCAGCUGGGUGGCUGUGUGUAUGCCCAGGUCCAAGUGAUAGACUGAGUGGGCAUCUCCUGCCUUUUCAUGUCUGUUAAGUCAGUAGCAUGAUAAUGACAUCGCAGCAAGGCCUCCAGCGGCCAGCGCAUGAUAAUGAUAUCGCAGCAAGUCCUCCAGCAGCCUGCGCAUGAUAAUGACAUCACAGCAAGUCCUCCAGCAGCCUGCGCAUGAUAAUGACAUCACAGCAAGACCUCCAGCGGCCAGCGCAUGAUAAUCACAUCACAGCAAGUCCUCCAGCAGCCUGCGCAUGAUAAUGACAUCACAGCAAGACCUCCAGCAGCCUGCGCAUGAUAAUGACAUCACAGCAAGACCUCCAGCGGCCAGCGCAUGAUAAUGACAUCACAGCAAGUCCUCCAGCAGCCUGCGCAUGAUAAUGACAUCACAGCAAGACCUCCAGCGGCCAGCGCAUGAUAAUGACAUCACAGCAAGUCCUCCAGCAGCCUGCGCAUGAUAAUGACAUCACAGCAAGUCCUCUAGCAGCCUGCGCAUGAUAAUGACAUCACAGCAAGACCUCCAGCGGCCAGCGCAUGAUAAUCACAUCACAGCAAGUCCUCCAGCAGCCUGCGCAUGAUAAUGACAUCACAGCACGACCUCCAGCAGCCUGCGCAUGAUAAUGACAUCACAGCAAGACCUCCAGCGGCCAGCGCAUGAUAAUGAUAUCGCAGCAAGUCCUCCAGCGGCCAGCGCAUGAUAAUGAUAUCGCAGCAAGACCUCCAGCGGCCAGCGCAUGAUAAUGAUAUCGCAGCAAGUCCUCCAGCGGCCAGCGCAUGAUAAUGAUAUCGCAGCAAGUCCUCCAGCGGCCAGCGCAUGAUAAUGAUAUCGCAGCAAGACCUCCAGCGGCCAGCGCAUGAUAAUGAUAUCGCAGCAAGUCCUCCAGCGGCCAGCGCAUGAUAAUGAUAUCACAGCAAGUCCUCCAGCAGCCUGCGCAUGAUAAUGAUAUUGCAUCAAAUCCACCAGCAGCCUGUACAUGAUAAUGACAUCGCAGCAAGACCUCCAGCAGCCUGUGCAUGAUAAUGACAUCACAAAAAGUCCUCCAGUGGCCUGCGCAUGAUAAUGAUAUUGCAUCAAGUCCUCCAGCAGCCUGUACAUGAUAAUAAUAUUGCAGCAAGACCUCCAUUGGCCUGCGCAUGAUAAUGACAUCACAGAAAGGCCUCCAGCAGCCUGGCAUGAUGACAUCACAGCACGACCUCCAGCAGCCUGCGCAUGAUAAUGACAUCACAGCAAGUCAUCCAGCAGCCUGCGCAUGAUAAUGACAUCACAGCAAGUCCCCCAGCGGCCUGCGCAUGAUAAUGAACCUCCAGACUGCACUGAGACUUGAAUGGGGGCAGAUAAAGUAAGAAUAUGCAUCUAAGGCACAUUACAAUGAAUGAGACAAUUAAAAGAAAAAUCUUUGAGUCCCCAGAUAACCCCUUUAAAGUGAAUGGAAAGAACCUUGCAUGUGGUGACCCCUCCAUUACUGGCCAGGCACAUUGUUGUCCCAUUCUAGAGACAGGAGUGGGUCCCAGAUGUGAGACUGUCACCUAUUGGACAUUUAUGGCCGCCCUAUCCUGUGGAUUACAAAUCCUUACUCCUGCUGGUUUUUCAGUUUAUAUCAGAUGCUGUUUUCUGCUGUGUAUUCCCCACUGAUUUGAGAGUUUCUAGGAACAAAUGCAAUGUGUAAUGUGCUAUUCGUACUGACCACAAUAUGGUUCCGGAUAGUAAUACGUUUCUAGGAUAACAUUUUAAUAUCCAAAUUAAAUACAGCAAAUGUUCAACCUGG